GACGAACGCUGGCGGCGUGCUUAACACAUGCAAGUCGAACGGAAAGGCCCUGCUUUUGUGGGGUGCUCGUGUGGCGAACGGGUGAGUAACACGUGAGUAACCUGCCCUUGACUUUGGGAUAACUUCAGGAAACUGGGGCUAAUACCGGAUAGGUGCUCCUGCUGCAUGGUGGGGGUUGGAAAGUUUCGGCGGUUGGGGAUGGACUCGCGGCUUAUCAGCUUGUUGGUGGGGUAGUGGCUUACCAAGGCUGUGACGGGUAGCCGGCCUGAGAGGGUGACCGGCCACAUUGGGACUGAGAGACGGCCCAGACUCCUACGGGAGGCAGCAGUGGGGAAUAUUGCACAAUGGGCGGAAGCCUGAUGCAGCAACGCCGCGUGCGGGAUGACGGCCUUCGGGUUGUAAACCGCUUUCGCCUGUGACGAAGCGUGAGUGACGGUAAUGGGUAAAGAAGCACCGGCUAACUACGUG
rnacentral:rRNA from 1 species